CUGGCCUCAAAUCAGGUAGGACUACCCGCUGAACUUAAGCAUAUCAAUAAGCGGAGGAAAAGAAACUAACAAGGAUUCCCUUAGUAACGGCGAGUGAACCGGGAAAAGCUCAAAUUUGAAAUCUGGCUGUCUUCGAUAGUCCGAGUUGUAAUCUAUAGAAGCGUUUUCCGUGCUGAACUGUGUAUAAGUGUCUUGGAACAGACUAUCAAAGAGGGUGACAAUCCCGUACUUUACACAAUCAUCAGUGCUCUGUGAUACGUUCUCUACGAGUCGAGUUGUUUGGGAAUGCAGCUCAAAAUGGGUGGUAAAUUCCAUCUAAAGCUAAAUAUUGGCGAGAGACCGAUAGCGAACAAGUACCGUGAGGGAAAGAUGAAAAGCACUUUGGAAAGAGAGUUAAACAGUACGUGAAAUUGUUAAAAGGGAAACGAUUGAAGUCAGUCGUGUUUAUUGGAUUCAGCCGGUCUUCGGUGUACUUCCUUUAAACGGGUCAACAUCAGUUUUGUCCGGUGGAUAAAGGCAGUAGGAAUGUGGCUCCCUCGGGAGUGUUAUAGCCUAUUGUCACAUACACUGGAGGAGACUGAGGACUGCAGCUCGCCUUUUUGGCCGGGGUUCGCCCACGUUCGAGCUAGGAUGUG
rnacentral:rRNA from 1 species